rnacentral:rRNA from 1 species
UACGGGGGGGGCAAGCGUUGUUCGGAAUUACUGGGCGUAAAGGGCUCGUAGGUGGCCAACUAAGUCAGACGUGAAAUCCCUCGGCUUAACCGGGGAACUGCGUCUGAUACUGGAUGGCUUGAGUUCGGGAGAGGGAUGCGGAAUUCCAGGUGUAGCGGUGAAAUGCGUAGAUAUCUGGAGGAAUACCGGUGGCGAAGGCGGCAUCCUGGACCGGCAUUGACGCUGAUGAGCGAAAGCUAGGGGAGCA